GGGGCAAUGGUUUAGUGGUAUAAUACUCGCUUAGGGAGAAGUGCCGUCCGAUUCCGGUUACACGGAAUGACUUCGCAAAUUGCGAGUGGUCCCGAGUUCGAUUCUCGGUUGCCCCC